UGGGGUGUAGCCAAGCGGCAAGGCACGGGACCUUGACUCCUGCAUUCGCCGGUUCGAUUCCGGCCAUCCUAG
rnacentral:tRNA from 1 species